rfam:Ichthyophthirius multifiliis unplaced genomic scaffold scaff_1120509250952, whole genome shotgun sequence.
GUUCGUUUAGUGUAGUGGUUAUCACGUUUGCUUUACACGCAAAAGGUCCCGAGUUCAAUCCUCGGAAUGAACA